rnacentral:rRNA from 1 species
UACGUAGGGUGCGAGCGUUGUCCGGAAUUAUUGGGCGUAAAGGGCUCGUAGGCGGUUUGUCGCGUCGGGAGUGAAAACCUUGGGCUUAACUCAGGGCUUGCUUUCGAUACGGGCAGACUAGAGGUAUGCAGGGGAGAACGGAAUUCCUGGUGUAGCGGUGAAAUGCGCAGAUAUCAGGAGGAACACCGGUGGCGAAGGCGGUUCUCUGGGAAUGUCCUGACGCUGAGGAGCGAAAGUGUGGGGAGCGAACAGG